AUUGAACGCUGGCGGAAUGCUUUACACAUGCAAGUCGAACGGUAGAGGGGGCAACCCCUCGAGAGUGACGAACGGGUGAGUAAUAUAUCGGAACGUGCCCAGUCGUGGGGGAUAACGUAGCGAAAGUUACGCUAAUACCGCAUACGAUCUAAGGACGAAAACGGGGGAUCGCAAGACCUCGCGCGAUUGGAGCGGCCGAUAUCAGAUUAGGGAGUUGGUGGGGUAAAGGCUCACCAAGCCAACGAUCUGUAGCUGGUCUGAGAGGACGACCAGCCACACUGGAACUGAGACACGGUCCAGACUCCUACGGGAGGCAGCAGUGGGGAAUUUUGGACAAUGGACGCAAGUCUGAUCCAGCCAUUCCGCGUGCAGGAUGAAGGCCCUCGGGUUGUAAACUGCUUUUGUACGGAACGAAAAGGUCUCUCUUAAUACGGGGGACUCAUGACGGUACCGUAAGAAUAAGCACCGGCUAACUACGUGCCAGCCGCCGCAGUAA
rnacentral:rRNA from 1 species